rnacentral:lncRNA from 1 species
CAGAGUGAGACUCCACCUCAAAAAAAAGAAAAAAGGAAAACCAAGCAAAAGUCACUGUCAGGGGACCUCCCACCCACCAUACAGGGGAACACUCGGCAGAGCCAGAGGCCUGGGCCCAAGUCCUGCCACCAGCUGGCUGUGAAACUGUGGUACAGCACCUUGUGUCCUGCCACCAGCCGGCUGUGAAACUGGUACAGCACCUUGUCCUCAGGUCCUUGGUUUCCUCACUUGUAAAUUCAUGGUUCUCCAUGGCAUCUCUGGUCUUCAACAUUAUUUUGCAUAGAGUCUCAGAAGCUUUAGUGUGAGCGGAUGAUAUGGGCACGAAGCAAGGCACCCAGAAGUGGGGGCAACUACUCUGCUUUCUAAAAUGCAAGGGAACCGGAAAAUCCAGGAGCCGUGCCAAAUGAGAAGAGGAACAAAUGGAGGAACAUCCCAGUCAAGUGACAUUCCUAGUGACAUUCACCAGAACAGAGUCAAGCUUUGGAUCCCAUGUUCUGUGACUUCCUCUUCACCACGCUUCCUCCACACACGUAGCAGCUCAAGGGUUUCUGAUGAGUGGGAGGCUUGACUAGAAUUGAAUUCGAGACAAGCACAAAGAUCAUGAUGCAAAUGAAAGGGACAGAGGGGAGAGAAACAGAAAACAAGUCUAUGUUCCCUUUAUGAGCUGUAACGCACACCAUGAAGGUCUGCGGCUUGGCUAUUGAGUCAGUGAGAGCGUGAACCUACUAUUAGAAGAAAAACUCUGAAUACGUCUGAACGUCAGAAAGAACGAAGUUUGGACACAUUGUCUUUAAGAACUGUAACACUCACCCCAAGGGUUUAUGGAUUCAUUCUUGAAAUCAGUGAAACCAAAAGCUUUCCAAAGUUUAACACACAGGGAAAUGACUUACUGCAAAGAACCACUCUUCCCCACGAGACUUCGAGAAGACCCGCUGUCACGGACUGAGUUGUGUCCUCUUAAAAUUCAGAUGUUGGAGUCCAAACCCCCAGUAACUCAGAGUGUGAACGUAUUUGAAGAGGUCUUUAAAGAGGUGAUGAAGGGAGAGAGACCCCAUGAGCUCGUCAAGCUCCUUCUGUGACUGAUCAGAGAUCCCACCGUGAGUCCAGCUCCUGGUCCCAUGCUCUGGAUAUAUCGGUCCCUGGCAGCGUGAGUGCCUCUGUGUUCACUGUCCCAUUUGAGAAUUCUAAGUAGAAUUCUGAACAGGCUGGAGCAGAUUGCCCACCCCAAGGGACAGAUGUUGGCUGGUACUGUUGGUAUUCAUGGAAGAUUCCUUCUGACACUCCCUCCUUCUUUGUAAUUGCCAUGAACUGGAGCACUGGGCCAAUAUAAAUCAUCCAAGGGUGAACACGCUGCACAUGGACGGCUCCUCUUUGUUUUUGAAGGGAUUCCAUCUCUAUUUUGCCAUGUGCUCCUUCACCCCACUCCCCACCCCCGUCUUUCAUUUCUUUCUCUGGAAAAGAUACUUCAACUCACAGGACUGCGAUGUUGAAACGGACACCCAAGAGCAUCACAGAUGGGCCAGGCCUGGACCUCUCGGGACAACAUUCCUCACGACUUUUAGAUAGAAGAGAUUAGAGAUUUGGGACUGGUGGCAACUGGUAACGUUUUCAGUGUUUGGUAAACAGCCAGGGUCCGGAGCUCUGGGAACAGCCUGAUUUAGCUCUUUGUUUAAGUUUUGUGUUAGAGGCUCCCAAGAAGCUGAUGCAGGGGAAAGAAAUUAACAACCAUGGCUCAUUCACAGCCAGGCAGCCAAAUGGACAGCUCUAUAAGACUCAAGCCGACAGCGGAGAGAGUGCAACCAAACAGCCUUGGCCCAGCUUUCAGAGGAGAACGUUAUUCACCCCAACUGCUCUGCAUCUGCCUGGAUGUCUGCCAAGAUCUGUGAGCAUUACAGCGUUGGUAUGCUUUGGGUGAGGCCUGUGGCUAUGGCAACAAGUUGGGAGCAACCCGGUCCCUGGGAAUGAGAACAGUGUCUAAAAUCAGGCAGGCGAGGGGCAGGGAGGAGAGGUAAAGGUUGGACUUGCCUGAAGAUGGAGCCGUUUUAUUGUUGUGGGUAAAGCUGCUACCAUUAGGGGCUGUUUACAGAGUGGGUGCAGCUCAAGCUGGGAGCAUGUUAGACUCAGCGACUACGAUCAACCUAUUGACUUGUUCCCAUGAGACAGAGUAAAUUAACUGUUGCAGUACUGGUCAUGUACCACCAACCUCCUGUGAACCAGCCCUCAGUGAAACAUUUAUGUGAAAGGCCAUGGUGUUCCCAUAAGAGGGUGCAUGUUCUCUCCCUUGACUAACUCUUCAGUAUGCCUCAUUCUCACGCGCUGGUGUGCAGGAAGGAGUCCAACAUGCCCCAUUGACAGUCAUGCCCUGUAUGUGGAAAGUCUUCAGGUAGAGCACUGGGCUCAGGUUUGAAGAUGUGAGUUCUAAUCCUAGCAAGGCCAUUACCUCCCAGUGACCUCAUGUCUCGAUUUCCUCAACCACAAAACAAAGGCAUUGGUGAGCUGACCUCUAAGGCCUCUCCAGUUCUCACCUUCUGUGUCUCUACAGACUGGAGACUAGAAGAUUAUGGGCACUUUUAUUGAGUCUUCAUUUUGUUUCCAUUUCUUUGUAGUCAUCAGCUGGAGUUGAGGACAAGUUUUAACAAUAGAUAGGUUUCUUUUUGUCUCUUUUUAAAAAAUUUUAUUUAAAAUAAAUGCCAAGUGUAGUGGCUCAUACCUGUAAUCCCAGCACUUUGGGGAGGCCAAGGUGGGAGGAUUGCUUUUGAGUUUGAGACCAGCCUGGGCAACGUGGUGAGACCCUGUUUGUACAAAAAAUUUUAAAUUAGCCAGGCAUGGUGGCGUGUGCCUAUAGUCCUAGCUACUCUGGAGGUAGAGGCAGGAGGAUCCCUUGAACCUGGGAGGUUGAGGCCACAGUGAGCUGUGAUUGUGCUAUUGAACUCUAGCCUGGGCAACAGAGCAAGACCCUGUCUCUUAAAAAAGACUAUUUUUUAAGAACACUUUUAGGUUCACAGCGAAAUUUGGAGGAAACUUGGCAUAUGUCAUAUGCCCCCUGCUCCCAUGCAUGCACAGCCUCUACCAUUAGCAAUGUCCCCACUCAAAUGGUACCUUUGUUGUAAUCAACAACCCUGUACUGACACAUCAUCAUCACCCAAACUCCAUAGUUCACAUUAGGUUUCACUCUUGGUGUGGUGUACAUUCCAUGGGCUUGAACAACUGUAUAAUGACAUUAUCCACCACUGCAGGAUCAUACAGAGUAGUCUCACUGCCCUAAAACUACUCUGUGCUCCACCUGUUUGUCCCUUCUUUCACUCUAAACUCCUGGCAACAACUGACCUUUUUACUGCCUCGAUAGCUUUGCCUUCUUCGGAAUGUCAUGUAGUUGAAAUCAUACAUCAUGAAGCCUUUUCAGAUUGGCUUCAUAUAGGUUUCCUUCCUUCCUUCCUCCCACCACCUUCCUUUCUUUCUGUAUUCCUAACUCUUGGAUGUAUUUUCCCCAGCAUCAUGACUUGAUGGGACUUUUGCUAAGAUAGGCAAUCAUAGAAAGUCAUAAAUCUCUUGUCAGCCUUAUUGGCUCACCUCCGAGAUGGUUCCAACACUCUUUAAGGCCCACUUUUCCAAUCCACAGAUUCCCCAGCAGAAGUCCAAGCUGCUGAGCCUCACAUCAUCUUUUGCACUAGUAAUCUUUACCACUACUUCACUGUAGCAUUUGAAAAUUUUCAUAUGAAGCCAUAGUUCUGUGUCUUUUUUUUUUUUUUUUUUUUUUUGGAGACGGAGUCUUAACCUGUUGCCCAGGCUGGAGUGCAGUGGCACAGUCUUAGCUCACUGCAAGCUCCGCCUCACGGGUUCAAGUGAUUCUUGCCUCAGCCUCCCAAGUAGCUGGGAUUACAGGCGCGCCACCAUGCCCAGCUAAAUUUGUUGGCAUUUUUAGUAGAGAUGGGGUUUCACCAUGUUGGCCAGGCUGGUCUCAAACUCCUUACCUCAGGUGAUCUGCCUGCCUCAGCCUCCCAAAGUGCUGGGAUUAAAGGUGUGAGCCACCGCACCUGGCCUGAAGCCAUAGUUCUUAACCUCAGUUGUGCAAUAGAAUUAUCUGGGGAAUUUAAAAAUUAGAAAAAACCCAUGCCCUGAAGAUUGUGAUCUAACUGGUCUUGCGUAGCGCCUGGGCAUUGGUAUUUUUUAAAUGUUUCCCAACUGAUACUAAUGUGGCCAUUCUGCAAGCCACAGUUGAAAGGCUUAUUCAAGCAUCCUGUUGCUGAAUGCAUGUCGUCCUUACCACAUGACUCUGGAGGUUUUCUUGUAUUCUGAUGUGGCUGCCCUGUUGAGGCCUGCCCCUUAGAGUGGAGAUUAUCCCCUGCAGUAGGCUGCCUGGAAUAUGAUCCCCAGUGAUCCCUGCUUCCUGGUAUUCAGGCCCUGGUGUGAUCCCUUUCCCUUGAAGCCUGGGCUGGAUUAGUGACUUGCUUCUAACCAACAGCAUAUGGCAAAAAUAAAUGUUUAUUGUUUUAAACCUCUGUUUUA